GCGCCCGUAGCUCAGCUGGAUAGAGCGUCGGUCUACGGAACCGAAGGUCGGGAGUUCGAAUCUCUCCGGGCGCG
rnacentral:tRNA from 4 species